GUUCUGAACCUCUCGUCCUUGGCGAGCAUUCACAGUCCGCUGUCUCCAAACCACGUGCUCUGCCAAACACCCAAUCCUAUUCCACACCGUUAGCAAGCCUGUGUUCCUGUUGUACUAUGUAUUUAUGGUUGCCACUGUGUCUGAUUUGAUUUUUAUUGUUUUGGGGGUUUUUCCCCUGAUUUUACUGAACCCCGGGUGAGAGGCCACAGUGUUGCGGGUUGGUAGGCAAAUUGCAACAUUCUGGAAGAGGCCGGAGAGAGGCCUCUUCUUAUAAGAUUCCCAGACCAAAUUCUAGACCAAAGACACAUGCAGACCAAGUUCGCCAGGCCCUGCCUGGAAGGAAGGUCAGCCACCUCCCCGAGCCUGAUCCUCGCCAGUCUCCUGGGCACCUGUCUCCUGUCUGAGCCCCUGGCUCUUUUGUAUCCUCAGAACUCUGCUCUGUGAGCACCAUGUGUGAUGAUGUGACUUUUAUGUCUCUGCAUAAAGAAAACUUGUGAUUGGGGCUCAUGACUCUGGUCCGCCCUCCUCUGGGCACUAUGCCUGGGAUGGGUUGGAAAUUCUGAUGCUGGCAGCCAGAUCUACAAGGGAUGCAAGGGAGAUGUUUAAAGGAUGCUUUUAGGAGGCAGAAGUGGGUGAGGCCCCAGGUAAUCUCACCCAGGGAGAAGCUCCGCUGAGCUGGGCCUGGGCCCUAUCAUUCCCUGCUAUGGAGCCGCACAGUCAGUGAAGGACAGGCUUCCAGGGCCCCCCAGUCAGUGUCCUUGUGGUCAAAUGGGCCUGUUCUCCCUGAAGACCAAAGAGCAGCCUUUAUGAAAAAGGACAUGCUCUGUCCCCAGCAUUCAGAGCAGCACCCCACCCCCUGAUUAUCCUCUGGGGCCAUCUGGACUCCAAGCUGUGGCUCAGUGGGACAGGCACCCCUGGUUCACCUGCCCCUGCCCCCGCAGUCCUCUGAGUGAGACACUAGACCCCUGUUAAGCUGGGAAGCCAGUUGAGGUGUAGGAGGCAGAGCCCCUGGGACAGAAUUUUGCCUGAGGCCACAUGGGAAAUGCCCAUGCAGCAGGAAGUGGUCUUGGGUGAUUUCUGGACAAUACACACUCCCCCUCGGUACCUCUGGUCCCACAUUCUCACCCCAGAUCUCCAGGACACCCCAAGAUUGUGAGGAAGCACAAGAGGAGAGGGACACCCCCCACCUCAGCCUAGCACUGGGUGUUCUCAUAUCCCCAGGCGCCAGGGCACAGUGGUCAGCGGCCCAGCCAGCAUCUCCCAGAACCAUCCCUCGGGAUGGGACAGUGCUCUGGGCAGCCCGAGUGCUAAGGCAGACUGCCUCCCUUCCCCAUGCUGCAGACACAGGCCAGCAAAGCACCUGAGGCAGCUAGAGAGCCCAUCCAGCCCGCAGACCCAGUGUCAGGUGGCCCCAGGCCGGUCUGUCCACGUGGAUGCUGUAAACAUCACUGUGCAAAAGUCCAACAAGCACAAAACCACAGGAAAGCAAAGCUCAGAUACCAAGACCUGGAGAGGAGUGUGGGCAGCCAGAAGCCAGGAAACAGCAUUUCUCCCCAGUCCCUCCCUCUCAAUGCCUGGCUUUCAGACUGCAGUUCCCAAGCUGUGUUUCAUUGUUCUCCACGGUUUCACUACAGACAUGCUCCCUGAGGGCCUGGAGCAUCUUGGUGUAUGUCUGGCUUCAAACUGAGAUGUUGGCUCCAUUUUUUUUUUAACCCAGUUAAUUCUUGAAUCCCUAGCAACUGUGACUCUCAGCCCAAGAGAAAGCUGAGAACGUGGGUCUUGCCUCCUUCCAGAAAUAUGUCUGGCUCAUCAGGACUUUUUUUUUAAACUUCGAAUAUUUUUAAGAUAUUUUAAACUUUU
rnacentral:lncRNA from 1 species